rnacentral:lncRNA from 1 species
ACAAACUAACUAAGCCGUCUAUACUAACUAAGUUAAUAAAGACGGUUAGUAAAUACUAAGUUAGUACCUUUGUUCUAAACUUUAAUCUGGAUUUCAUUCUCAACAGAUAAUCAACCAAAUCUGAACGUAUUGUCGAAACGUAGUUUUGAUGUUUGAUAGACGUUUGUAUGUUUACUGGGAACUUUAUAACUUUACAUAAGUAAUAAGGGCAACUCUACAUAAGUAAUAAGUAUAUAGGUCUUGAAAUUUAUAAAUAAAAUAUAGUUAUAAAAGUAAUGAAAUUUAUGGGCACGGUCGAUUACGAGCGUUAUAGUCCGCAUAUCCAGAAGUUUUAAGAAAUUUUAGAGAUUUUAAAAUGGCUGUGGUUCUUAGCUACAUAAUCUUUUUUUAUAUGGCAACUGUUUUUUUAGUUUAUUUUUGUAAAUGUUGCAACCAUAUUAUUGAUCUAACUUAAUAAAUAAAGGUCUUUUUUUUGUUAGUAAAUAAAUAAAAGUGAGGCUAUAAGAGAGUGAACAACCCAGAAUGUGGAUUGUUGACCCAGAAUGUGGAUUGAUUUUUUUUAAUUUAAUAACAUGGCAUGGUAUACAUAAGCAUGUUUUACAUAAACAUGGUACAAGAUGUUUUACAUAAGCAUGUUACAUGUUUAUGUGAAACAUCCAUAUUUUUUCAAUUGUAAGUUUCCAAAUACACGCAAGGUAAAGUAAGUAAAGUAAACAUUACUUUUUAAUUAGAAAAUUUAACAUUAAUAAUUAAUUUUUUUUUUUUUUUUUACAUUUCUUUUAUCCUUAUUUUUAUAACAUGGUUAGUUAAAAAUCACCAGAACAAAGUUUUUAGAAACUGAAUGCUAAAUUUACUCAAAAAAAUACCUGGGUAAAUAAAUGUUUAGUUGACAGACGUGAUAGAAUUGCAACAGUUUUUGAAAAAUAUCCAUGUUUCUCUAACAUGAUCGUGAUUGUUGACGAGAUGAGGCAGCCAGGCGGCGUGAAAUUUUAAAGUGCAUCUUAGAUGUAAUUCUCUUCUUAACAUCACGCAACCUUAGCUUCCGAGAGUCAUCAAAAAUAAUCUAUGAUGACGAUAAUGGCAAUUUCCUUGCAACUCUAGAGCUACUCGCAAAGCGCAACAAGACCCUUCAGUUACAUCUAGAAGAAGUUUCUCGCUUUCAACAAGAAGGUAAACAAAUUAUUGUCCAUUAUUUGGCUUGGAGUUCACAAAAGAGUGCGGAAGAAUCUUCUACGGUGCCAUCAUUAAAGAUGCGCAUUUGGCAAUUUACUAUCGCAUUCUUGUCGACAGAACGCCUGACGUUUCUCAUAUUGAGCAAAUCAUAUUUGUUCUCUGCUUUGUCUACUAUGGUAUUGAUAAAAAAUGGGUAAUUAAGAAGCGCUUUCGUAGGGUCGAAAAUCUCGAAAAAAAGAAAGGUGUGGAUAUUGCCAAGAUAAUUAUGGAUGUCUUGGAUCAAAAUAACAUCAAUCUGAAGAACUGUCAAGGUCAAGGAUACAACAACGGUGCCAACAUGUCUGGUGUGUACAGAGGAGUACAAGCGAUCAUUCUUUAGAGAAAUCAUCUUUCUACAUACCAUGCAGCGCUCUUACCUUAACCUAGCUCUUAAUUAUUUCCUUGAAUCUUCUGUAGAGAUGAAGAACUAUUUUAGCCAGAUUCAGUUACUCUACAAUCUUUUUAGUGGAACCUCUAAACGAUGGAAAAUCUUGACCGAGACGACUGGUUUGUCUCUUCAUUAAACCUCACAAAUCCGAUGGAGUGCACACAUUGAGGCUGUGAAGCCGUUGGUUAAGCCACCUAGAGAAAUACUUUUUUGUUUUCAGAAACUUCGGGAACUUGAUUUAGCUGUUGAUUGAUUAAAUGACGUAAAAUCUUUGGAGAAAUGGAUUCAUUCAUUUGAGUUUAUUAUCUUGACAACCUUCUGGUUCAAAGCGCGUCAAGCAAUUUACUAUGUCAGCACAUCAUUUUAAUCAGAAAACAUUACUUUAGUUGAUGAGAUGAAGCUUAUGAGAAUUCUAAUCAAGGAUCUCCACAAACUUAUUUUGGAGGUCCAUCAUGUGGAUACUCUGAACCACGCCAAUCUUUUUGGUCCAAAAGAAUAUCUCACUUGAAUGAAGAUAUUAAAUGAAACCUAAUAAAAAAGAUCUAGAGUCUAUCUUAAAAUCAAUAUGCAAUUUGUUACUUUUUUUUAGAGAGUCAAAUUCUCAUGAAGUAAUUAAAAUAUCUAUUACAUUUAAAACUUAUAGUUACUCGCAAUAUAAUAAAGUUCAGUAACUUGUCAAAAAACUUACCUUGUUACUUGUGCUUGUUUUUUUACUUUUAUUUCAAAUAUAUUUAAAAAAUAAA